rnacentral:rRNA from 1 species
GUGUCAGCAGCCGCGGUAAUACAGAGGUCCCAAGCGUUACUGAGAAUCACUGGGUUUAAAGGGUGCGUAGGUGGUCCGUUAAGUUUGUUGUGAAAUCCCCGGGCUCAACCCGGGAACUGCUUCGAAUACUGGCGGACUUGAGGCUUGUAGGGGUCACUGGAACAGACGGUGGAGCGGUGAAAUGCGUAGAUAUCGUCUGGAACGCCUGUGGUGAAGACGGGUGACUGGGCAAGUUCUGACACUGAGGCACGAAAGCGUGGGGAUCAAACGGGAUUAGAUACCCCAGUAGUCC